rfam:Picea glauca, whole genome shotgun sequence.
ACAUGUCUACAACAUAGCAUUAAUUCAUUGAAUCCCAUUAGAACUCCAUAGUUAAGCGUUCUCAUGCUAGAGUAGUACCGGGAUGGGUGACUGCUCAGGAAAUCCUAAUGUUUUACAUGCC